AAAUAAAGAAAGAAAAAAAUAAAGAAAGAAUCCUCCUGCAAUCAUGAACAGGCCAGGCAAUAACUCUUUUCUUCCAGAUUUCUUUCCAGAGACAGACUAAAUUUCUCCACAAGUAAAAUAAAAAACCAUAAAACAAAAGUGAAUGCUCAGAAUAGGACAUGAUUAUGUCUGGUCAUAGCAUCAGAAGUAAUCAUGAGGGCAUCUGUACUGUCUCAUUUGACCAAAGGUCAGAUUUAUGAGUGGGCAAGGCAGAUGAAGUAGACAGACAUGGUAAGUGACAUUUCAGACGUAGGAAAUUGAAGAGCCCUGGCCAGAGAAGUGACAGUGUUUCUGUGUGUUGGUGGUAUAAGUGAAGUAAGAGGAGUCUGAACUAAAGCUGGGAAUUAGACAUAAUCAGUUUCUGGUUCAUAAUUAAGAGAUUGCCUUUAUCUUCCACAUAAUAGAAAGCCAGAGGAGGGUUUUGUUCCUGUGGCUCUCUAUCUCUCUCUGUCUCUGUCUCUUUCUGUCUCUCUGUCUCUGUCUCUCUCUCUCUCUCUCUGUUUAUGCAUAAAAUGAUGCAAACAAAAGUAACUUAGAUUUCUCAAGUAACGCAUAAGUAGUAAUAAAAGAGACUUGGAAACAAGAGGGCUAAUUAGGAGAUCACAGAAUUGAAGGAAAGUGACAAAGAUCCAUUGAAGGACAUGUCUUGCACCAAAUUAUGUCGAUUCCCACACCCUCCAAAUUCUCACACUGAAACCGAUUUCUUCAAUGUGGUCAUAUUUGGAAAUGGGUGUUUAGUGCAGAGGUAGGUGAAACAUGGCCAUAAGAAUAAGGGCCUAGCCAACAGUACUGGUAGCCUGAGAAGAGGAGGCGACACCAGAGUGCUCUCUUUCCAUGUACAUGUAACAUGAAAAAGCCAGGCAAACACAUUACCAGUCAUAAGAGAACCCCACCAGCACUCACCUAGGCAGGCACCCUGUUGUUGAACUUCCAUCCUCCCAUAUGAUAAGGAAAUAAUCUUUUGUUGUCCAAGCCACCCCAUGUUUGUUAUAUCAGUCCAAGCUCACUAAGAUGGACAAUGACAUGAGGGACACAGAGAGUAGACUCAACAGGACAUGACAGCUCAUCCACUCAGGAGUGUGGUCCACAAAAGUCAACAUUGGCUUUGGGAGUCUAGGGCAGUGUCAGGAUGUCAUGAUGCCAUUUAUAGAGCCAACGAAUAGAAGAGGGAAGAAGACUCAUUCUAAGAGACAAAGCUUGAUGUUCAUGUCAAACAAAUGGCUUGUCGAAUGUCAGGUGGAGGUAACACAGCCAUCUAUAACCUUCCAGCAGUUAGAGGUGAGGGUUUUGUGGUUAAAAGCCAAACACAAAUCUUAUGUACUUUGCAAUCAUCUGCCAAAGUAUGCCACCACAGACUAUCAUGCAUGAUCAAAAUCACUAGGGUGUAGUAACAUGCAGCUGACAGAAGAUGUUAUGUGUCCAGUAAGAGAAGGUAGCUAUUUCUGUGUGCUACAUAGACCUGGCUUACAUGUUUUCAUGACUCUAGAACUUCCUUAUUGAAAAAAACUGUGAAAAGUAAGUUUACCUUCAAAAUGGUAAAUACCACGUGAUUUAGACACUCCCAAGGAUCCCUUGUGUUCUGAUAGAUAUCCCUGAGAAAGACUAAACAGAGUUUAGUGGACCACACAGUUCAACAAACAAAAGAUACUAUGACCUUGAAGUAGGGUAAAUGGCAAACUGUUUUCCAAACAAAGGACACAUUUACUCUAAGAAGGCCAAGCACACAAAACAAGGCACAUUCUACCCCCACGGGGAGACAGAUUAGGAAGAGAAUUCUACACCCAGGAAUCUUGAGUUUCACCGGUGCAAUGGAGGUACUUCUGUUAGAGAAGUUGGGCCAAAGAGGAAACUACUGAAAUAGAACGUGAUAUUAUGAAACAAAGGGGCGCUUCAUAAAUGUUCAACUGAGAAAAGCAGAGGGUGUUUAGAGAGUGCAGCGAGGACCCUGGCCUGUUAAAAGUGAGUCCUUACACUUGAAGAUGCAGCUGGGAAUUCCCACUCAAUGAGCACCUCACUCCCCUCGAGACAAAAGCUGCAGCAUCUUUGUGUUAUGGUUUCAGAGACCUGGCCAUGAGGGGUCCUUGUAACCUCAUUCUUACUGUAGAAAGUGAUUUGGGCAGGCAGCGUGUCAUUCCCACUUCUUCCACGGCCUUGCAAGCUAUUUCUCUUGCUGUUUAAGUGACAUGUUUCUGAAGACUGUAUGCUGUUAUUUCUUAAUUCUCCAGUUUAGAAUUCUCAUUGACUACACAUUACAGAAUAUCUGGAUUUGCUGUUUUUUAAUUCAGGACUUCCUGUGAUGUGUCCUUCAUUUUCUGCAUUGAGCCCCUAUGAUACCUAGACUUGUCAAGUGGCAGCUAUAGUGGUCCCUCUCCACUGCCACCCCAGGAAUCAUCUGUAUAGAAAUGGUAGUUCAAGCUGCUGGGUUUUUAUAAGAUCACUCAGGGAAUAUGGACAAAGAUUUUGGGGUGCUUCAAUAUUUAGGGGGCAGGAGGGUAAGACAAGUUUACUUACAGGACAGAAGAAAGAUCAGUUUUGGGGAUAGAAAAAGACCAGAGAAACGGUGAUGCUCUAUGAGUUAAGGGGAUAAAGUGUUUCUGUGGGCUCCCUUACAAGGAGAGAGCACAGAAAACCUGUUCCUUCUUAAUUGCUUUCCCCUGAUUAAGUCAGGCCCAAGAUAAUCUCCCUUUUGAUUAAUUGAAAACCAACGGCUUUGAGACUUUAAUUCAUCCCUUUUGUCAUACUCUAUUGGUUAGAAGCGAGUCAGAGUUAGCACUCCCACGCAGGAGAGAGGAUUAUUCAGGGCUUGACUAGCGGGAGACAAGAAGCAGAGGACAUCCCAGUCAGCUUGCCUUAGAAUGGUUUAGUUGGAGAGGAAAUUGUGCUGCCGCAGGAGGGAUUGCAGGAGCAAUGAUGUCUGAUGGGUCAGAGGAGGAGGGAGCAGUCACUGUCCUACCAGGAGACACAGGGGCUGGAGGCAGGACAGUGGCAUGAGGACCCUGUCACCUCUAUCCCCUCCAUAGGUGCCAGUGCUUCAGUGAGACAGAUGUGGUCCUCCCUGUUGGCUCCCUCUUGCUGAGUCCUUCCUCACCCAGGCCCACCUUUCUGCACUGUCUAGUUUGGUUAAGUAUGUUCAAAGUUCGAGUAGACAAUUCUCAUUUGCUUUUGUCUCUUCUCUGCUGUCUUUCUCUGAUUAAAUUUUCCAUUAAGAAUUAACUGUGAGGAAAGGGGAGGUGUAGCCAGGUUGGGGUACAGCUUGAGAGGAGUAAAGGGAGGAACUGAGAGUAAAAUUGAUCAAAAUUCAAAAUACAUCGUCUGACACUGUUAAAGAAUUAAUAGAAUAUAUUUUUGAAUUCACUAGAAAAGUAAACAUAGUACAGAAUUGCUGCUUUAUCCAUUUUAAGAAUACAAUCCAGCAGUUAAAUAUAUUCACAUUGUUAUACAACCAAUUCCAAAACCCUUUCUUCUUACAAAACUGAAGCUUUUUGCCCACUAAAACAAGAAGGCUGCCUUCUGAUGUCCCCAGCCCCUGUCAACCCGCCCUUCUUUCUGUUUCUACAAAUUUUGAUGGUUUUAUUUGCCUUGUGUUUGCAGACCCAAACAGUGUUAUUUUCUUAGGAUUGGCUUGUUCAACUUAAUAUAACAUCUUUAAGCACAUGCCAGAAUUUUUUUUUCCUUUUAAGACAGUAAAUUUAAAGCAGUUAUUUUAAUUUUAUGGGAUUCUCUUAUUUUUCUGCUUAUGAGAUUUCCCCUACUCAUUCAUUUAACUAUUAUUUUGACGGGGAUUUUAAAAAGGAGAGGUAAAUGUGUGUCCAGUCUUUUCUUCAAAAGGAAACUCACAUUCUAUUUGUGAAACAUGAUGUUUAAGGACAGACUCUUGGAUGCUUUUUGAAAUCACCUUAACUUUUCAGGAUCAACUGAAGAAUAGAAUUACAGAAGGAGUUAACAAUUAGUCUGCUCAAAAUAAGAGUCUUUUUGUUUGGUUUGGUUUGCUCGUUUGUUUUUUAAGACCGAAUUGUAGACCAUGCUGGCCUUGAACUCAGAGAUCUGCCUGCCUCUGCCUCUGAAAGGCCUGCCCCAGAACAGCAUUUCACCACCAUCAUCACCACCACACCUGCCCCAACACAGAAGUUCUUAGGCUCCACCUCCGUCUAUUGAAUCUGAAAGGGGGGCGUGUCCUGUAGCACCAGCAUUUUAAUCAGCCCCCUAGAAAAUCGGUUCUUCUAGAACUUGAGAACCUCUAGUCUUCUAGACAUAACCCUGUAGAACUGCAUCUAGAGAUUCAAUAUUUUACAUUGAUUAGUCCAAACUCUAGGAUUUCCAGAUUGUGAGAUCACUUUUGGCAGACAAUGUUGUGAUUUGUGUAUAACACCUUUUUUUUUUUUUAAGACAGGGUUUCUCUUUAUAGACCUGGCUGUCCUGGAACUCACUUUGUAGACCAGGGUGGCCUCGAACUCAGAAAUCUGCCUGCCUCUACCUCCCAAGUGCUGGGAUUAAAGGCGUGCACCACCAACGCCCAGCAGUCUAUAACACUUAUAAUCCACUGUUUUCAGUAGAUAAGGCAGGCCAUGUCAAGUAUGUAUAUUGCUACAUCUUCAUCCUACAUCCCAGUGGCUGCACUUACUGGACCACCACAGACAAGGUCAGAUAGUCUACAAGAUGGUCAAGACCGUCUAGGGUUCACCAACUCCAUGGAUCAGAACUUUGGUCAGGCACCUACCAGAGGGCUAGAGUGACUUCUAAAUGCACCACUGGCCAAAGCAGUCACAAUCCCCCUUGCGUUGCACUCCGGGCUUAGGAAUGGUUUUGGGUUUCGUGAGUCACAUAUUUUCCUUAUGUGUGGGCAGAAAGGUAAGUGAGAACAACUA